GACGAACGCUGGCGGCGUGCUUAACACAUGCAAGUCGAACGCAGUGGCGAACGGGUGAGUAACACGUGAGUAACCUGCCCCCUUCUUUGGGAUAACGCCCGGAAACGGGUGCUAAUACUGGAGAGUGGGGGAUGGGCUCGUGGCUUAUCAGCUUGUUGGUGGGGUGAUGGCCUACCAAGGCUUUGACGGGUAGCCGGCCUGAGAGGGUGACCGGUCACAUAGAGACUGAGAAUCGGCCCAGACUCCUACGGGGGUCGGCAGUGGGCACUAUUGCACAAUGGGCGAAAGCCUGAUGCAGCGACUCCGCGUGAGGGAUGACGGCCUUCGGGUUGUAAACCUCUUUCGCUCAUGGUCGGGUAGUGGGUAAAGAAGCGCCGGCUAACUACGUGCCAGCCGCCGCGUAAUUC
rnacentral:rRNA from 1 species